ACUCCUACGGAAGGCAGCAGUGGGGAAUUUUGGACAAUGGGCGCAAGCCUGAUCCAGCAGCCGCGUGUGUGAAGAAGGCCUUAGGGUUGUAAAGCACUUUCAGUGGGGAGGAAAGGUUGCAGAUUAAUACUCUGUAGCUGUGACGUUACCCACAGAAGAAGCACCGGCUAACUCCGUGCCAGCAGCCGCGGUAAU
rnacentral:rRNA from 1 species